rnacentral:tRNA from 1 species
UCGACUCCUCAAUCUUCCGCCAAUAUUUGAUAGGAUAGCUAACUCGGUAAAGCGGCAGACUGUUAAUCUGCGACAU